UCUUCCGGCAUUGAUGGCAUGAUGAAUAAUUAACUUCCUCCUUAAGAUCGGCUUUGGCAAGAUUAAUGGUAUCACUACUACUACGUUUCCUUUUGGUUCCACUUGUAAUCAACUGUUGCUGAAAUAAACUGUCCACAACAUUAUCAAGCUCCUUCUCCCAUUUGAACAGUUUCCUUAGCUUCUCUUUACUCCUAGCUUUCCUAUCCAACAAUUUCACUCCUUCACUCUUGUUCUUCUGUUUCUUCUCCUUAAUCUCUACACCAUUCCCUUUUUGCCCCUUCUGCUCCUUCGAAGCCUCAACCUCACCUAGCUUCGUCUUCUUUUUUAAUAAACUCUUUUUCUUCUUUUCCUCCUCAGAAAUCCCCUCUUCGUCUUCGUCUUCUUCUUUAGGCCUCUCUGCCGCACUACUCUCCUUCUUCAAAAUACCAAAUUUGGCAUCCACACUCUUCCCUUUAUUCACCGAUGUCACCCCAGACUUC
rnacentral:misc_RNA from 1 species